CCCGACUGCUAUUUGGGUGAGAAUAAGCCAUGCGAGUUGAAUGGGAUACCUAAAUUUCCCAUAGCGAACUGCUCAGUAACACAUGAUCAACUCACCCUAUAGAGAAACAUAACCUCGGGAAACUGAGGAUAAUAUUUCAUAGUUGAAUUGGCUUGGAAAAGUUUUUCGACGAAAGGGGUAAAAAAAAUGGUUUUUAUCUGCUAUAGGAUAGGAUCGUGUUCGAUUAUGGUUGUUGGUGAGGUAAUGGCUCACCAAGCCGAUAAUCGAUAGGGGCCGUGAGAGCGGGAGCCCCGAGAUGGGUACUGAGACAACGACCCAGGCCUUACGAGGCGCAGCAGGCGCGAAACCUCCGCAAUACACGAAAGUGUGACGGGGUUACCCAAAGUGUUCAAUUUUGAACUGUGGUAGGUGAGUAAUGUUCCCUACUAGAAAGGAGAGGGCAAGGCUGGUGCCAGCCGCCGCGGUAAAACCAGCUCUUCAAGUGGUCGGGAUAAUAUUGGGCUUAAAGUGUCCGUAGCCGGUUUAGUAAGUUCCUGGUAAAAUCGGAUAGCUUAACUAUCUAUAUGCUAGGAAUACUACUAUACUAGAGGGCGGGAGAGGUCUGAGGUACCGCAGGGGUAGGGGUGAAAUCUUAUAAUCCUUGUUGGACCACCAGUGGCGAAGGCGUCAGACUGGAACGCGCCUGACGGUGAGGGACGAAAGCCAGGGGAGCGAACCGGAUUAGAUACCCGGGUAGUCCUGGCCGUAAACGAUGCAUACUAGGUGAUGGCACGGCCAUGAGCCGUGUCAGUGCCGUAGGGAAACCGUUAAGUGUGCCGCCUGGGAAGUACGGUCG
rnacentral:rRNA from 1 species